GACGAACGCUGGCGGCGUGCUUAACACAUGCAAGUCGAACGGAAAGGCCCUGCUUUUGUGGGGUGCUCGAGUGGCGAACGGGUGAGUAACACGUGAGUAACCUGCCCUUGACUUUGGGAUAACUUCAGGAAACUGGGGCUAAUACCGGAUAGGAGCUCCUGCUGCAUGGUGGGGGUUGGAAAGUUUCGGCGGUUGGGGAUGGACUCGCGGCUUAUCAGCUUGUUGGUGGGGUAGUGGCUUACCAAGGCUUUGACGGGUAGCCGGCCUGAGAGGGUGACCGGCUACAUUGGGACUGAGAUACGGCCCAGACUCCUACGGGAGGCAGCUGUGGGGAAUAUUGCACAAUGGGCGGAAGCCUGAUGCAGCAACGCCGCGUGCGGGAUGACGGCCUUCGGGUUGUAAACCGCUUUCGCCUGUGACGAAGCGUGAGUGACGGUAAUGGGUAAAGAAGCACCGGCUAACUACGUG
rnacentral:rRNA from 1 species